rnacentral:tRNA from 1 species
GACGCGGUGGCAGAGUGGUUAAUGCGUGAGGCUUGGAAUCUCAUCUCUCAGGAGGCGUGUUCGAAUCAGGCCCGCGUCG